rnacentral:rRNA from 1 species
GCUGGCGGCGUGCCUAUACAUGCAAGUCGAGCGAAUGGAUUGAGAGCUUGCUCUCAAGAAGUUAGCGGCGGACGGGUGAGUAACACGUGGGUAACCUGCCCAUAAGACUGGGAUAACUCCGGGAAACCGGGGCUAAUACCGGAUAACAUUUUGAACGCAUGGUUCGAAAUUGAAAGGCGGCUUCGGCUGUCACUUAUGGAUGGACCCGCGUCGCAUUAGCUAGUUGGUGAGGUAACGGCUCACCAAGGCAACGAUGCGUAGCCGACCUGAGAGGGUGAUCGGCCACACUGGGACUGAGACACGGCCCAGACUCCUACGGGAGGCAGCAGUAGGGAAUCUUCCGCAAUGGACGAAAGUCUGACGGAGCAACGCCGCGUGAGUGAUGAAGGCUUUCGGGUCGUAAAACUCUGUUGUUAGGGAAGAACAAGUGCUAGUUGAAUAAGCUGGCACCUUGACGGUACCUAACCAGAAAGCCACGGCUAACUACGUGCCAGCAGCCGCGGUAAUACGUAGGUGGCAAGCGUUAUCCGGAAUUAUUGGGCGUAAAGCGCGCGCAGGUGGUUUCUUAAGUCUGAUGUGAAAGCCCACGGCUCAACCGUGGAGGGUCAUUGGAAACUGGGAGACUUGAGUGCAGAAGAGGAAAGUGGAAUUCCAUGUGUAGCGGUGAAAUGCGUAGAGAUAUGGA